rnacentral:lncRNA from 10 species
CCUGUCGUCUAGUGGAAGACACUGGCCGGGACACAGAGCCCACGUGUGGACACCGCUGUGGGUUGGUGGCAGGGGUCGAGCAGGUGCCAUCAGGCACAUGAACGGUGGAGUCUUCAAAGCAGAGAUGGGGUUUCACCCUGUUAGCUAGGAUGGUCUCGAUCUCCUGACCUCGUGAUCCACCCGCCUUGGCCUCCCAAAGUGCUGGGAUUACAGGCCUGAGCCACCGCGCCUGGCCAAGCACAGAGUGCCUUCUGAGGUGUGAGCAGCUGCUGGAAGAGGAGGUGCUCCUGAAGACACUGCGGCCGGCCCGCCUGUGCCCUUGGUGCCCUGGCUGCCUAGAGAGCCUCACCCCUGGGCCCUGGGGCCAGGACUCCAGGACUCUGACUACCUGCCCUCCCCCAGCCUCAGCGGCUGCACCUCCUCGUUAGUACUGAUGCACUGACCUCGGCACACAGCUGGGAGGGGUUGGGGGCUGGGUCAUGGCUGCUCCCAGGCCCCACCCAGGCUCCUGAGCCUAGAAGGUGAAAAGAGGACUCUCAGGGGCUCACAGGGGCUCUC